ensembl:lncRNA
AAAAUGAGAGGCAAUAAGAUUUUCAUGGCGAGUCAUCGAAAUUCGCCAUGGCGCCACGGCCUCAUAGUAUUGUGAAAACUCAAAAGCUCCGCAAUUUAACAUGGCACAAGGGUGUAGUUGACACUGUCCAAAUUUGAAGCUUAUAGGACCAAAUCCCAAGGAGGAGUUCGUUAAAGUUCGAGGCAUGGAAAUGGCAAAAUUAGAGCCAAAAUGUCACCUUCUCUUCCAAAUGGCGGACUUCCUGUUGGGUUUGCGUCAAUGGGCCCACAGACUUUUUUGUUCGUCUUGGCAUGAUACACAUGUGUGCCAAAUUUCAUACAUGUAGCUCAAACGAUGUGGUCGUAGGGCUGCAUUUAACAAGGCAUAGGUGGCGCUGUAGAGCCAUUUCCCAGUGCUCAUAUGUAAAACCAUUAAAAUACAA